rnacentral:misc_RNA from 1 species
UGUUUGUGUUAUGUGAACAUGUUUAUGUUUGAUGUUGCUAUUGAUUCAAUAACCAAUUCGAACAUAAACAUGUUCACAUAACACAAACACAGUAGAUCAAGAGACAAAUAAUAAUGCUGAGAUAGAAAAUCGCACAACCAAACUCAAACAGGUGGAGAAACAGGACUCCAAAAGCAUGACAAAUCAUCUGAGUUCCAAGAGUUCCUCAACUACUGUGAAAUGAGAAUGCAGGAGUAUAUGGAGCAAUAUAAUCACAUUGAUUGAUCAUUGCUUUCGAUGCAUUUGAAGGAACGUCUCAAUGAGACCAAAGAUUUACUACCAGGACAACCAAAAACUUCAAGUAGCGUAAUAGACUCUUGAAAUCAUAACAGAUCUCACAGGACUCUCAAAGUUCCCUCACUUCGACUCCUGUGCAUUGACAGCUCUGAUCUAAAGUUCAGUUUGUUACUGAUAUCAAAAUAAUGAUGCCGAAGAUUGGUUGUUGCCUUAGUCCCAGUUGGUGGCAGACGAACAUGCCUACCCCUGGACCGCUUCGGUGAGACUACAGCUUGACUUUUACGACCGUGAAUUGAUGAAGAUGUUGGCCUGGUGCCAGCUAGUCCAUGGCUACUCUUCCGUGUAGCUUUGUUAUCUGACUUUAGGCCACGAUCAAACUGAUGGGCAUUGAUGCCCAGCCUUACUGAUCGGUCUGCAGCAUCUUUUAAUGUGCUGACUCUAAUUGGCUGCCUGUUGAAGUAAACAAGAUGGGGAAGAAGGCCUUGCAGAUAUUUCUUGAGUUGUUCAUCUCCAACAUUUUUCUGUGCUGGAUUUCCUUCCAAGCUAAUGGCUUGCAAGGAAUUGUAGUUGGCUGCAAGUUGGCCCAGACAUUUGGCUGUAGAGAUUUUGUUGAAACGCAGAUCCAGUACUGUUAGUUUUAAUAGGCGGUGGAGACCCUCUACCUCACUUAUUUUAUUUCCAGCCAAGUACAACUCUUUCAGGGAAGAACAAGAAGCCAGACCAUGCCCAAUUCUUAAUAUCCGGUUGUAGCUCAAGUCCAGCACACGGAGUCGGGUGAGUUCACGCAAACCCUCAAUAGUGGAAAUAUUGUUUUUUGACAGAUUCAACAAAUGAAGUCCUCGAGGAAGGGCGCCAGCAGCUAUUCUUACUAUGGAAUUUCCUGAUAGAUUAAGCACCCUCAGGCUAACAAAUGCACUAAGAAAUGGGAUCACUGCCAGCCCAUGAUUUGACAGCUGAGCUGUGGUAGCGGCAGCACUCAAAGAAGAGAUGUAUCUUUUAGCAGCUUCCAUGCCAGGAGUGACCACCUUAGCAUCCGCCUUUGUGCCACUCAAACCAUUGAUGACAGUGAAAUCUCUAUUCAUUGGGGGAUUAGAAUCUGAUAAAUCAUUUCUGUCUUCCAAUGGGCUGCAGUGUUGAAGAUCAAUGAUCCACUCCUCAAUCCGCUUAAUUUUAAAAUCCUUGCUCGGCAAUUCAUCAAACUCCCCACUGGAGGAUUUUCCUUGAAGUAUUGUUGCCAUGCUUACCUCAUCUGUAACUGGUAUAAUCCAGUCUUUUGCUGAAGCUGAAUAAUUGUAAGAAUCAUAAACAUCAUCAAGAGAAUUUUCAAAAUUAUUUUUCUCAGUUUUAGAAUCAUUAUCAUUUCUUUCAUGUUCNCGCCUGCUUUUCAACUUCACGAAAUGAAAACUCUUUCCACCUCAUAUGUAGUGCAUGUAAGUUCUCACAAGAUCUUGAACGAGGUGCUAAAUAUUUAUAGGAAUAUUGACCAGAAGAGGGUGAGGAAGGGCAAAUAGUAGGCAACGAGCAUGAUUUUACAAUCAUUGGAGGUGCGUGAGGCAUAUGAUUCCUAGAUUCAUUGCAAACUUCACCAGAUACCAGAGUUUCAAAAUUUUCAGGGCCCUCCUCUGAAUGUUGAGGAUCUUCAAUUGAAUGGAUGGAUUUAGCAUUGACAAUAUCAGAACCUAGUUGGGCAGUCUCUGAUUGUGGAACCUGACAGCUUGCGCUAACUCCUGCAUCCUUGGUGCUGUAUGGUCCACACAGCCCAUUUUGAUCAAGGGAAUCACUAGAAAAUCCUUGAUCUAUGUCGUCCUCCGUGUCAUUUUCACACAGAAUCCUUCCCUCAUGGCAUAAUCCACUUCCCAGAGACUGACUUUUCUUAAUAAGACCUUUCUGAUGGACUCGUGUGUCAUUUCCUAUAUUUAGUUUGCCCUUAAUUUCCUCUGAUUUCCUGCCCCGUUCAACUAACACAGAACUUGUAACACUCUUGAUGCUCCGACUAAUUUCAGUAUCUGCUUGCGCCUUGAGCAAUAAUGAAUUUGAGCUGGUAGCUUUAGGUGGUGCCAUAGGGGCUUCAAUUUGAGAGGUGGAGUCUUGUAAGGUCUUACGCAUUGAUUCAACAGAAUUUUCAAAGGGUUUCUUUGGUUUGUUGGAAUGGAUAUGCGCAUUGAAGCACGAAAACCUAACCAUUUUGACAACACUGAUAAGAGUUACAUCCACUUAUACUCUUGUGCUACAUAAAAAUUCUAUGGGUAAACAACUAUUCUAUUCUAAGCAUCAAUGUUCUGUUCAGAAGCCUGAAACAAGUACCAAACUUAACUAAUGUAGAAUGUCAACUAACAUCAAGCUUCUGGGGAUCUAGCAAAACGUGACCUUAGCCAUAAUCCAGAGACAAGCCCUCUGAAAUACGACACAAUCUCCAAACAUGACAUGACCUUGAUCUCCUCAAGAGACAAACCAAUAUCACUCCCUCGUUAUCACCCCACACCCAUCUAGAGGUGCGAGAAGACUUAAAAUUUGUUGCAGCGGCCAGAGUGAACCAAAAUCUUUGCCAAUUAGGAAAACGCA